UACGUAGGGCGCAAGCGUUGUCCGGAAUUAUUGGGCGUAAAGAGCUCGUAGGCGGCUUGUCACGUCGGAUGUGAAAGCCCGGGGCUUAACUCCGGGUCUGCAUUCGAUACGGGCAGGCUAGAGUUCGGUAGGGGAGAUCGGAAUUCCUGGUGUAGCGGUGGAAUGCGCAGAUAUCAGGAGGAACACCGAUGGCGAAGGCAGAUCUCUGGGCCGUAACUGACGCUGAGUAGCGAAAGCAUGGGGAGCGAACAGG
rnacentral:rRNA from 1 species